ACAGUAUAAAACAAAUCUUUAUUGUUCACCCUAUGAAGUCAUUUGGAUUGAUUAUCUCCCCUUUAUACAUUAUACACAAAGUAUAACCUACCAUUACCUCAAACCUGACAGUAUAAUACAAAUCUUUUUUGUUCACAACAUAUGAAGUCAUUUGGAUUGAUUAUCUCCCCUUAAUACAUUAUACACAAAGUAUAACCUACCGUUACCUCAAACCUGACAGUAUAAAACAAAUCUUUAUUGUUCACCCCUAUGAAGUA
rnacentral:lncRNA from 1 species